UAUGACCCCACAGAUGACUAUGAAUUUGAUGCUGCAAUUCUCGAUGACGAGUCCUUUGAUGAUGAUUACCCAUCUGGGUUUUCUGACAUUGAUUUGUCUGAUUAUGAUAACUACUAUGAAUUCUCUGAUUAUGACGACUUCUCUGUAUAUGGGUUUGACGAGUAUCAGUGAUUUGCUGGUUGACGCGCUUGCAUGGUGAGGAACCCUUUUCUUGCUUUAAGUCGCAGAAUAAUUUUACUACAUGGUUCUACGUAGCUCUUCGUGGCAGUCUGUUGUGAUGUACUAUUUCUGAUUAUUUUGGUCUGGACACGCAGGUGAAGUUUCUUUAUGGUUGCUGACACUUCGUACCAUGGUUCGAGGCAGAGAUGGUUAAGCGACCAUCCUGCACGCCUUCUGGUGAAGCUUUUGACCUGAACUUCGCAAGUGGGAGUCUUUCCUUUUUUUGUUGAUGAAGAGAAGCGCUCAUAGAUCGGCGCUCCCCUUGAAGUGCAUUCUUUUGUUCCUUUCGUUCUAGUCUCUGCAUCUUUAUCUCCAGAACAUGUUAUCUAUGAGCUUCUGCAUAUAUAGUUCUAGUGCCUAGUCUUAUUUUGGUAUCUGUGACUUUGGUGUGCUAACUCCAGCUGGCCAUGAUAAUGAACUUCAUAGCUGAUAAACCAAUAUCAGGCUUCAUUGUGCGGUUUUGCAUAAAAUUCACAAUGCUGUUACCUAAAAUGUUAUUCAGAAAAUCGCUUUAAUCGUUCCCAUCUAUGAGGAUCUUGUAGUGUCAAAUGUAGCAGCAGGUUGCUUUGCUUGUCAAGCACUUCCAUUUUCAACUAGUAGAUCGCAUUUCCAUGUGGGUGCAAAAGAAUGAAUAUUUGACAUCUUUUAUGUCAAGGAAAUAACGUACUGCCUAUCAUAUAUUUUAUGUUAAGGCAGUCGUGUACAUUUCACGCUAGAAGAAUAACCCUAGUAUGGGCAAAGCAGGAGGUUUUGGCUGUGUUUUUGGCAAUCAGCAGUCAAAUUUACAAGUGGUUAGCCAAUGCACUAUCACUGCGUUGAUUAUCAAAGAGGCUGCCAGCUCAUACAGGUUGCUUUCUUUUAUGUUUGGAUCUUCACCUGAAAGUUGCAAAACAUCAACGUGGGAAAUCCGGUACAAGGUCCUUUCGAUGCGGUUUCAAAGAAAUUCACGUGGAAUAUUGAAAACUCUAAAGAUCCUAGACGAAGAGAAUGGGACUGAUCUGAAGAUCUCAUGACCUUAUAGUUCUCAAGAAGAAAUGUCGUGGGAUUAUUCCCACGCGUACCACGCCAUCUAAGACACCAUCUACCAGGCGUUAGAUUAAUUCAAGCGGGAUCAGCCAAACCAAGGGGUGGCAAAUGGGUGGGUCAGGUCGGGUCGGGUCGAAAAUAAGUCGACUUAUAUUUGACCCAUUUAACCAAUUUUGACCCAUAUUUUUAUAGUGUAAAUCUAAUAAUCUAUACCCGACCCGUACCUGACCCGACCCGUAUUGUUAAAACUUAUUAAUAUUUUAGGAAAACUCACUUCUACUAUAUGCUAAUUGGAUUAAAACUUCAAAUAAAAUUAAAAACAAUAAAUAAAAUAAAAUAAAAAGUUAAAAAAACCUAAUAAAUUGAAAUGUUUAUAAAAAAUUAGACUAUGCACAUAGUGAACAUACCAUUGAAUAAUUAAAAAAUGUAACAUGAAAUUUUUUUAACUAAACCUAAAAAAACUCAUUUUUAUGAUUUUUUUUACAAAAAAAAAAAAAGUAUUGUUAAAACAUUUUUAUGCAAUACAAUUUUUUUAAACAAUUUUUAUGCAAUAUUAAUUUAAUGGAAAUUUUUUAUAAUUCUUUUUAAAAUAUUUUUAUAAUUCUUUUUAAAAUAUUUUUAAAAAUCGAAUUUUUAAUUUUUUAAAUAUAAUUUUUAAUAAUUUUUAAUUUUUAAAUAUAAUUGUUAUAUUUUUUUAUUUUUUAAAAUAUGAUUAUUUUUUUAUUUUUCUCUUUUCUUCUUCUUCAGCUAGUCAUUGGCCAUGACGACGGCCGGCAACCGAUCAUAGGCGAGGCCUCGGCCUCACCGACGACUAGCGAGGCUUGAGCUCGCCAACGUCGGGCGGGGCUCGAUCUCGUUGAUCCAGCGAUGCUGAGGCCCCGUCUGAUGCUAGCGAGCUCGAGUCUCGCUAGAUUUGGCGAGGCUUGAGCCUCGCUAGUCAUUGGCGAGGCCAAGGCCUCGCCCAACGCCAGUGAACUCGAGUCUCGCCAGUUGUCGGUGACCUGCCGGCAAGCUCGAGCCUGCCGGCCGUCACCCUACCGACCGUCGGCUAAGGAAGGAAGAAAAAGAAAGAAAAAAGAAAAUAAAAAAUUGAAAUAUGAAAAAUAAUUUUAAUUUCGAUUUUUUUAUAAUAAAAAAAUUAUAAAGUUAAAAAAGGCCAUGGGUUUAAACUUUAAAGUAGGUUUCCUAAUAACCCAUUUAGAUCAAAUUUUUUUUUUUUUGUGUUUUAUUUUCUUAAACCGAUUUCUGACCUAUAUUUAACUUUCACUUGACUCAUAUUUUACCCAUAUUUAACUUUCACUUGACUCAUAUAUGACCCAUUUAACUAAAAAUGGGUCAUAACAUGGGUUUAUAACCCAUUUUGCCAGCUCUACCCAAAUCAAUGUAUUUUUCCCAAAAUCGAUGGGAUUUGGGAGAAUCUUUUCUUGAAGUCACGUGACAACCAGAUGUUAGUUCCGACGAAGAUCUUGAUGUUGGCCAUCUCAAUGAAUAAAAGGGUGAAAAAUGUGUUGGGAUGGCAUGCAUGUCUCAAAUCUCCAUUAAAUUUUGCAAGAAUUGUUCCAAGACAAUUGAAAAGCAAUGAAUUUAGGGAAUAUUUUAAAUUUAUUUGCAGUAACAAUGUUCAUAGUGUAUGUACGAUUAAUACUUUGAUAUAUACUCAUUAUUCAUGUCCCAUCGAAUAUGUUUAACAUCACAUGUUCUAAACCUUUUUUUAUCGCAAUUUCGUUGAAAAAUGUCUCUAGGGUGCUUUCUCUUUUGUUGAACUUUGGGGCACAUGCUAAACAAUAAAACUUUAGCCGUCAAUGCACAACUUCUCUUAAGUAACGAAUCAUGAAUGCUUUGAAAAUCGAAACAUUCACUAUAAAAUAUAAUUGACAGUAAUAAGAUAGGUCAUCUAUGAUAUACCCGUAUCUCCAUGCAUAUGAAUAUGCAAUGAAUACUCUGAAGAACAUCAUAUUAUUCAUUAAGUGCACUUAAUAAAUGCUCCAAAGGUACUUGCUAAGGAAAUCCUUUAUGAAAGCAUUCAUGCAUUCCCCAUGAAUUUAUGAACAAAAUAAACACACCUUUUGUUGUGUGAUCGUGUGAAUGUUAAUCCCUAUAUAUUAGUCAUGUAUAUUCAACAAAAAUAAAUAAAUAAAAAUUGCAAAUAUGAUUACCCAGAACGAAGCCAAAAAUUAUGUAAAUUUUCUUAAUUAAUUAUGUCGAGACACUCCUUAAUAAAAGCUGAUCGCAUCAUCCUCGUGCUUUUCUUCUCUCUCUUUUGUUCUUUUCAAUUAAUGUGUUCAUCCCAUUGAGAAAGGGGAUUAUGCAUGCCGCUCUGCUCGAUGAUAAUUGCACGAGUGUGGAUUUACAGGGAGGGAGGGAGGGAGGGACCAAACUCUUUAAUUAUUAUUGCACAAUAAUUAUUAAUUAUUACUGCUGCAAUUAUUUGUGGGGGAGUUAAGAAACAAUAAAAAUAAAUUACGCAACAUGUCGUGGCGGACACGGGCAUUUGCGCGCGUGUCUCGCCGUAUCUGUCAGACAGAGCCGGUGCUCAAGAGGGUUGGACCAACCACCUCCCGUUGACUUUGAUCCAAGCAGCUGCUGGCCAGUGGGAUUUCGCCACGGCAGCCGUCUGUUGACCUGCGGUAGCAGGAGAUCCGGGCCUGCGCGUGCUAGGUCGCAGCCUCUCCACAGACAACAGCUUUUUACCUGCAAACAUACGCUGUAUACCGUGAAUUAAAAAGCUUUGCGUAUGACAGACGUCCGAGGACCACAAAGAUGGUUUUUAAAUGGGACCAUACGGUAGUAACUUUUUCUUUUUCUUUUUUCCAUUUUUUUUAUUAAAGAGAUAAGUCAUAUGAAAAUCCAAAAUGUGUCCUCUGACAUAUUCAUUUCAAUAAUUUUUUUUGUGACAUAAAAAAUUCUAAAUUUGCAUUUAUGUCACACAAUUACACUCCGUUAAAAUACCAUUAGAUGAUUUUUCAACUAAAAUAACGACGUUUUUUUUUUCUUUACAUAAAUUACGUGGGCGUGUCAGCAUUUUGUUGUCAUAGAAAAAUGUUUAUGAUAAAUAUAUUACAAUGGACAAAAUUUAAGUUAUUAUUGUGAUGUAGAGGAAAUGUUGCAAUUUCUAAUAUAUUGUCUGCUUUUGUGAUAUGUAUACUUAAUAUUUUGAAAAUAGAAUAUUUUCUCGUUAAAUGUAAUUAGCAAAUGCACCAAAAGCACGUGUGCCUUAUGAUACUCAUUAGACAUAUUGACUUUGGAAUGAUUUAGUUUCGACACAUUAUGUGGUAUAUCACUAGAACGAUUAAUGCAUUGGAAACUACAUGAUUUCGAAAAUCAAUUAUUUAAAAAGUGCUCCGUAAACCCUAGUAAACCAAAAUCUUUAUCAUUAUACCGAUAGUGUGUAAAAUUAAGCUUGUUAAGUAAAUUACUUCUAGAGAGAAAGUGAACGUUGAUUUGAGCUCCAACGAGCGCAUUUUCUUGGAAGCCACUCUUUAGGAUCUGUUUGGUUACGUUUUUGUGUCAGGGAUCAAUUUGUUUUCAAAAAUAGUAUUUGUCUAUUUCUAUUCCCCAUAACAAUUUAUGAGUAAAAAAUGCAUUUGGUAACUAUACAGAAUUACUAUUCUAAGAAUGGAAAAAUAUUAAGAAUGCAUUUGAUAUGAUUCACAAUUUUUUUAUAACAUAAAAUUUCUUUGAAUUUUUUAAUAAUAUUUUGAUAAUUUUUUUCUUUUUUUCUUUUGCUAUUCUUCCUUGUUGCUAUUGAUCACUGGCCAUAGGCCGCUGCGGCCGAUCAUUGCUGCUUGCUAGCCAAAGGUCAAUGGCGACUGACAGUGGCCGAACAACAACAAACAAUGGUGGGGUUCAAGGAGAAAGAAAAAGAAAAAAGUAACUUAUUUAUAAAAAUUGUUCAUGAGAACAAGAAGUUACUUUUUUUUUUUUUUACUUUUUAUUUCUAUUCCAAAUCUAUUCCUCCGUCACUUUUCUAUUUCAGAAAAUAGAAAAAUUAGUUGACGUUACCAGACGAAUUUUUUUUUUUGGUUAUGUUCUGAGGAACGAACGAACAUAAAUUGGAAUAAAUAGAAAUGUUAUCAAACGAAGUCUACUUGGUUGGUGUUUUUAGAAAUCAUAUCACCUCAAAUGAUUCAUUCAGUUGAAUCACGUCCCUAUGGUAAUGUUUGGAUGCCCUUUACCUUGUUUUAUUCAAUUUAACUUGAUCCGAUUGUGCACCACUUAGGAAGUCGGUUCGACGUCCGGCCGUAUUUUGGAGACAUUGGUUUCAAGGGUCUCUUGUCCUGAUAUUUGUCUAGUAGAUGAAUGAGGUGUGUGAUGAUAUUUUUACAGGCCGGAGCAAGUGCUAAUUUUCAGGUAUGAUCUCGGCCCAAGAGGCCUACAAGAUGAGCCGAACGUGUUGGAGUGGGUGAUAAAAAUACCUUUGCGGAAGUAUAGGGCCUGUUUGUUUUCACUUUUUUUUUUUUUUCUGUUUAAAAAUAGUUUUUUUAUUUUUUUGUUCCUGGGAACAAAAAAGAAACAGAAACGCGUUUGUUUGCGUUUUUGUUCCAAAUCUAUUUUUUUGUUCUCAGAAACACAUCUGGAACAGAAACAAAAAACAAAAAAAAAAAAAAUUGUUUCUUGUUUCUGGAACAAAAUUUAGGAAUACUUUUUCUCUCUAUUCCAUUUGCUUCUCUCUUUUUUCUUCUUCUUUUUUCUUUCUUUUUUCUUUGGCUGGUUGACGGCCUCGGCCAUGGCCGGCGACCGGCUGUCAAGGGCCAGUGACCUCGCCGGAGCGUCGCUGGCCCCCGGCGAGGCCGAGCGUCACCGGCCCCUGGCGAGGCCGAGGGCCGGCAAGCCUCGCCGUGGCUAGGCGAGGCUGCUGGCCCUCGUCGGCUGGUCACCGGCCAUGGCCAAGGUCGGCGACCGGCCAAAAGAAGAAAAAAAAAAAGAAAAAAGAAAAAAAGGAAAAAUAAAUAAGAAAAAUAAGAAAGAAAAUAGAAAAAAUAAAAUAAAAAUAUUAAAAAAUGAAAAGAAAUAAAAAAAAUUAUACAAAUUUACCAAACAUGUUUCUAUUCUUUUUAUAUUUAUGGAACAGAUUUACCAAACACAUUUUUUUGUUCAAAAAUUAUUUCCUGAAGCAAAAAUACUUUUUUCUAUUUCUGUUCCCAGAAACAAUUUUUAAACAGAAAUGUUACCAAACGAACCCAUAGUUAUUUUGGUUGGACAAAUCAAGUCAUUAGUCAUCAAGUUGUCUAAUAGUUGACUAUAAAUGGAACUUAACCCUAACGAUUAGUUUAGUCGGUUGAGGGUUUUGGAAGUUACGGUUCAAAAAUUAGAAAAUAUUUUCUUAAAAAUGAUCAAUUAUAUUAUUUUCAAAAAUGAGUCAACAAAAUAUAUUUUCAUCAACAAUAGCGAUUUAUGUUUGAAUAUUUUCAUAAAUGACGAAACCAGUAUAGGAUGAUUCUAAAUUAUUGAGUUUUUGUAAGACAAACGCACCAGCCAUCUAACUUAGAAUCAUUCUUUUUUCUGUUCGUUUGUUUUUGGGGUUCGGUAUAAGGGAGUUGAUAUGUCAGGAAGCUAUCUCACUAGCUAUCCUUCCCAUCAGAUGCUUUAACGUACGAACACCAUGUUAAAUCUUUUUUUUUUCCAAGACUUACAUUAAAUCACUUUCCAUGGAAUUAAAUCGUAAAAAUUAGAGCCCCUUUAAAAUAUCGUCACAUUACAUUUUAAUGUUGGGUCGACACAUUAAAAACCCAAUACACUUAUCAUGAAAGAUUGUUAAGGGAAAACUCAAAUAUGAAUCCAUUAACUUAUUCGAUUUGAUCCAUUUACACUCAAAACCUUUGGUCAAUGAAUUAUAGCUAAGUUAGAUAUGUUAAAUACUCCAUAUUACAGCACAUCCUUGUAUGAGAGUUCGAUAGCUUAACAUUCUCGUGCAUGCACGUAGACAAUUUCCCCCUUCACACGUGCAAGCCACCGAUGUUAGGCUCACUCCCCCUCAAUCCUAAUAUCCUUCUACACCAACAUUGUCUCAACUCGAGAAUCUUUAAUCUUUACCUUGGCUUGGUCAAAUUUGCAUAUACUGGUGAGGACCGUGGGUAUCUUUCAGAUUCCACCUUAAUGUCUUCCCUCAACCAAGCUUGUCGAGAGUAGAGGGACACCAUUCAUCACCUCGAUUAAGGGGCCACAUUUGAGAUUUUCCUUCCUUGAAAUAUUCACGGGCACUUAUACAUAUUGGGAUCCAGCCACGAAUCAACACUGACUCUAAUACCAUUUUUAGAUUGACACAGCAGAAGCUCAGUACAUUUGAUGAGAUCACCAAGAGGAAGCACUAGUCAAAGCCCAUGAAAAUACCUAGUUGGACCCAAUUUUACUCAAAAACUUUAGUUAAUCAAUUAUGAAUCAGCUAAAAUGCAUCAAUUGCACAACAUUUACUUUGUGGGAUUUCUCUCAGCUAACAUCCGUGCACAUGCACCUUAAAAAAUACUAAAUGCAAUCCGAUUCCUCAUGUGUCAAAGGUACCCCUUGAAGCAUCAAAUACAACGAUAGGGUUUGCGUAGCUUUCUUGUUGUAGUAGAUUUUCUCUUGAUUACUACCUUACCAGCCCUUAGUGUCACGCCCCGAUCCUCGAUCACAUGCCCAUCCUUCAUCUUUGGUCGGUUUUAAAAUGCAAUAUCCCAGGACUACAUAUCGCCGGUCCUUUCUUUUUCAAUAGCACAUGCAGAAGCAGUUAUAAAUCCCCAAACAAUAAAACAAUGGGAUAGAAAAGUAGGGCUAUAAUUUUCAUACUGAAAUUCACAACCACACUUUUAUACAGGCGCCUCAUAGCAUAUAAUGCAAUACUAUUAACAGGGGUCUGAUCUAACACUUAUCCACAUAUAAUCAAGGUCUGACAAAACAAGAUAGGAUCUCAGUCCUCAUCCGGAUCGUACUCAGGAUCCUCCUCAUGGUCAUCUUCUUCUCCAAAAUCUUCCUCCUCAUCUAGUUCCGCAUUAGGGUUCUCCUCUUCAGAUUCCUCCUCCUCAGGCUUCUCAUUAGGGUCCUGAAAAGGUUAUUUAAUAACCAUUGAAACCAUGUCUCAACAAGUUCUACUUCAUAAGACUCGAUUAGUAAACCAAUAUGCUAACUGAGCUACCUAUGCACGCAUGGGUCAGAAGACUUACCUUGACCUCAGAUUCCACCUGCAUAUUAGCACAGUUCAAUAGGCAUCCAAGCAAUCACAUCACAAAUCGAUAUCUCGAUCAAUUGACCUAGUCGAUUUCAUGCCAACCAGACCAUUCAUCGGUCAUUUCAAUUCAAUCAAUCAAUUCACGACAUCAAAUCAAAGUAAUGAUCAAUCGACCUAGUCGAUUACAUGUCAUCUCGACCCUUUCUUGGUCGGAUCAUCUCAUACUAUCUAUAAGUCCGUUCAUAUCAGGAUUGCUCACUGCUAAGCUGAUAAAUAGAUAGUUUAGCUCACUUUUGAGAUGAUCGGGUAUACUGCUCUCUACUAAGCUGCCAUAUCGAUCGCAUGCUGAUAUAGUAUACUGAUAGAGCUCAAUCUAAGCUAAUAAGGUAUAUUGCUCUCUACUAAGCUGCCAUAUCAGAGCUCGUAGGAUGAUAUAGUAUACCGACAUAUUCAAUAUAAACUGAUAAGAUAUACUGCUCUCUGCUAAGCUGCCAUAUUGCCCUUAAGCUGAUAUAGUAUACCGACAUUCUCGAUCAAAACUCAUAAGGUAUACUGCUUUAUGCUAAGCUGACAUAUCGCCCCUAGGUCAAUAUAGUGUACCAUCCCAAUCGUACAAUUAAUUCCAUCUUUUUAUCAUUCUCGAUAAAGUAGCUGUGUGUGGGGACACGGUUAGUCUUAGCCAAAAUAUAAUAUUUUUCUUUACAUAAAUCCCACAUUUUCUGUAGUCCACUCAAAUAUUUUUGGCAUUAUCAACCGAUGCUCGGUUAUUUUUCAAUUAAUAACCAAAGAUUAUUCAAUUAAAGAAUAAUUCCCAAUUUCACAAAUAACUCAAUUCAACACAAAAUAAAGCUCAAUUAAAUAAAGAGACUGCGCCACGACCAUCAGCAUAAAAUUCCAGUUGUCGGCUAUCCCUGCCUAAUUUCGAAAAAUAAAUAAUUAAUUAAAUUAAUUUCGAAAAAUAAUCAAUAAAUACUAUAAAUCCAAUUUAGGCCUGUAAUGCCAAAUUGAAGCCUGAUAAGGGUCAGGAAAAGUCCCGAGAUUCAUUCAAUAUAUAAUAGGAGCUCUCUACUUGCUAAUGACUAUGUCUAACCACCUAACAUGCAUCAUUAAGUCACUAAUUUAAUUGUUCUAAACUAAUCUAACCACCUAUUUACACUGAAUUAAAUCUAACCAACCCUUAAGCAUAAUUAGCAAACUAAUAAAGCAUUAGUGAGUAAAACUCACUUGGCAAAGCGAAGAUCGGAACACUAUGAUGACAACGCGAUGACGGCCGAAAUCCAAACUUUCGGCGACGUCGAUGAAACCUUAGGCCGGGCCCAAAGACCUUGCCUCACGGCUUGGGCUUCAAAAGAACUUGCUGGACUUGGGUCUUGCUGAAUUUGGCUGAAGACUCAACUAAUGGGCUGUUCUAGCUGGGCCUCACUGACAUACAAAUGAUGCUGGGCUUGACUUCACGGGUUGAGUUCAAUUCUAGGCCGGGCUAAACUACUGAAAUGGCCCUCAAUUGGACUGAAUUUUGCUGGGCCCGGAUUGCUAAAAGUGCCAAACUGAAGACACGGGCUGGAACAAAAGAAACCUGGGCUGCACUUGUGGAUUGGGUGGAUUUUGCACGGCCAGAUGAAUGCUGCAGGUUGGGCUUUGAGAGUGCUAGUAUGAACAAAAUAAAUGAGUUAGGGAAGAGAAUAAGAACACAAGAUUUAUAGUGGUUCGGCUUAAUCCAAGCCUACGUCCACUCUCCCAUGAUAACAGCCUUCUUGGCUGGAUUCCACUAUGCAAUCAACAAGAGAUUACAAGUUCGAGUGCAAACACUUAGUAGUAGAUCACACUAUCUCACUAAGUCACUCUUUUGGUAUUUCUCUCACGAUUACAAACGUUUAAGCUCUCAAGAGACAAGUAUAUGAUCGAAAGUCGCUCAGACUUUUGAAUUAUAAAUUCUACGCUCCGUCUCUUACUUGCUCAUCGGUCCAUGAUCUCCUUAAAUACUCCUCCACUUCCAAACUACCCGUUGGACAGUAUCCCGGAGAAUCGUCUUCCAAUAUACCCAUUGGACAGCUCUGUAUCUAGAAGAUUUGGUAACCGUUGAGUGACAAAGGUAGAAUCCCAACUUGAUUCCGAUCGCCCAUACAAACGGAAUCUUGGUUUCCAUAAGUAAAGCUUCUUCGUAUAGAAAGAUCUUGUCUUCAACAUCCAAUUGUCAAUCAAAUAGAUUGAGUCAAUCAAAUCAAUCUUGAUGUGGAAUCCAAACCAGAUCACUAGCCGUUAUAUGAUUGGGCUUGAAUUACGUUCUGUCGAAUCUGGAUGUAAAGUCUGAUGGCUAUCAUACUUUACAAUCUGAGUCUGAGUUUGGCAGUCUUUAGACUUUGAGUCUUGAGUCUGGCAGUCUUCAGACUUUGACAUAGAAGUCUGGAAAUCUUCAAAAUAUACUUUGGACAUGUGUUACGUUCAGUCUUCUGGUCGUCUUCUGACUUUGAUAAUAUCCUUUACAUGUUCUAUUAUCUGCAUGGUCUAUUACUCAACCAUUAAACAUGUUAGUAGCCUUUGAUUUAUUUUGUCAUCUUCAAAACAUCAUAAGGGAUUUCCCUAACAGGCUUCACUUCGCGCCUCCCAACGAAAGCACGAAGAAGGUGAUGCUGAAGACGUGCAGUUCGGUGGGGUGUGGAGUUGCUUCGUGGACUUCACUAGCCACUGGAUGGAACCGAAGAAACGAUGAAGACUGACGUGUGGCGCGGCUGCUGCUUCUGUCUUCGUGCACUGGAAAAUCCACGCGACGAGGGGUAGCAAGCGACUGGGAAAUGUUCCUGUUGUUGACCGUGAAGACGCAUGACUGGUUGCAAGCGACAAAGUAGAAAUGGAUUCACAUGAACUGAUGGAUCAACACCAGCUACAGGAGGAUUCAAGGCUAAGGGGAGCUUCGGUUGACUGGCUUCGUGGAAGUGGGUUGACUCACUCGGUGGACGCAUGGAUCUUGGACGGUGCUGCUGUGGUGGCUCAUGCGGAGAAUCAGUAGGGGCAGAGGUCGGUGGAGCAGCAGCGUGAGAUGAGUGCUGGAGUUCAAACGGUGGAGGAGAAGGGCAGCAAGAAAGAGAGAGAAGGUGGAGUGAGUUACACCGAGGGAAAAUGAACAAGAAGCGGCGUCCGUGGAGAGCAGCUGGUCUUGCAUGCUCAAAUGGAUUGGAUCAAAGCUUAAAGUCGACAAUUAUUAUCCAUUGCAUUAAUAGCUUUGUCCCCUAAUACUUUCUAGAGAGAUAAUCCAUAAUUAAUUUAAUUGAAGCCAAAAUUGCAGCCCUCUUAGCCAAGGUUCCGAAUUUCACUUAAUACUCUCCAAUUUCUUCACCGACUCUCCGAAUUGGGGUCCGAUUUCGCUGAAGGAAAAUCCCGAACAAUUUUCUGCAAGUCCCCGACACCCAAAGGCUCGACUUGGAAGUCCAACUUUUCUUCAAUUUGGCCCAUCCGAAUUUCUGUAAAUUUUCCGCAACGUCCGAAUCCAUUUUUCAUAAAAAUCUCGGAAUCUCCGAAAAAUCUUCUGAGACUAAGUCAACGUUCCUAAAAUAGCUCGUGACAUCACAGAACUUUCAAUUUCUAAAAUUUGACUCGAAUUCACAGGUAAUUUCCAUUUGACGCGUUUUUAGCGUGACCUAGGUUACUAGGUAACUUUCAGGCAUUUUUAGUGUAAAUGAUUUGUGGUCGAUUUUCUUCGAGCCACUAUGAAACCACUUGACUCAUUGGCGACUCUUGAUUGUCGUAAAAAAACCUGAUGAUCCAAAUACGGACACAGGGUACCAAAACAAUAAGAAAAUCAGUCUAGUGUCUGUCGAUGAGAAUUUUUCAAUUUAGUGGUGUCACCCACGAUUAACCACACAUCUCUGUCGACUCAGCCUAUCUCUGAUUUCAAAUCGAUUUUAUAGUGUGCUGCAAUAGCCUCUAAAGACAGACACUGUCAAGAAACCGAUUUAUAGUCGAAUUCUCAAGUCUAUUUGCCUUAAAAUCCUUAUUGGUUUCCCCAGCUAACCUAGUUAUCUCAAGAGUGAUCAGCUUUGAGAACAGCCCUAUAGGCGCGUCAAUGAAAUGCCUGAUUUAUUCAGUAGAAAACAGAGUUGAAAAUCUAGGAUGUCACACUUAGCAUUGAGGUGACAGGCUACUGAUGCCGUAAUUAUUUGUAAUGUCGAUUCAUUGGAAGGUAAAUAUUAAUGAGUCAUGUUUUACUUAUUAUGUCUUUAAAAUGUACAAUUUUUCAUUGAAGCACAACUGAAUAUAUUAAAAUUCUCUUCUUUUACUGAUAUGUAUAUUUUUUUUUUGUAACCCAGGAAUAAACCUAGGGGGACACGUAAGCGGGAGGACCCACCACCCCCGGCGUCCCACUUAAGACCCCAAGUGACCGUAAGAGGAUUCAAACUCCUCCCCUUCGUGAGGGGGAAAGAGCCCAAACCAUUGUGGCCACCAGGGCGGUGGUUAAAUAUGUAUUUCUUUAAUUCUCAAAAUCUCUCAAAAAGCAUUCUUUCUAUUUUUAGUUAAUUUAAUCUAGGCAUUAGUUUUGACAUGAAAUGAAAAAGAAGAGAAUUGGAGGAAUUUCUUGUGCUCAUUAUGUAUUGUUUUUCAUUCUUACAUGUAUUAAUAAUAUAAAGUGUGGACAGCAAAAGGAAACAAUGUAAAAAUACAUAAUUAAUAUGGAUCACUUAUUGAUUCAGUCAAUCAAUCUAAAUCUUAGAUUAAUUCAAUUAUCUCUUCACCACAUAAAUCAUAUCUCCAACACUCCCUCUCAAGUUGGUGGCUUGUAUAUGUCCAAAACACCUAGCUUGUUUAACAAAUGUGUGUUGUCUUUGACACAAGGGUUUAGUGAAGAUAUCAGCAGGCUAUUUUGAGGUUCCAAUUCCCUUUAUCCUAUUAUUCCUUCUUGGAUCUUAUCUCGAGAGAAAUGAUAGUUGACCUCUAUUUUUGUUAUCUCAUGGACUAUAGGAUUAGCUGCAAGCUUUAGUGUUGCAUCAUUAUCACAAAAACAACGUAGUUGGCCUUUUAACCCGCACACCAAGGUCAAGAGGUAGACCUUGCAUCCAUACUAUUUCAUAAAUAGUCUUGGCCAUGGCUCGAUACUCAACUUUAGCCAAUGAUAAUGAUAUGGUUGUUUGCUUCCUCCUCUUUUAUUUUUUGUUUUUUAUUUUUUAUUUUUUUAUAACAAAAGGAUGUUCUGAGCUUAAUGCAAAAAAUCUAGUAAUGGAGCUCCAGGUCAUAGGACAGGUGGCAUGGUCUGUGUCACAAUAAUACGUCAUCUCCAUGUUGCACACUUGAGAAAGAAGUAUUCCAAAUCCUAGACAUUUCUUCAAAUCACAACUUUUAGAGCUACAUUCAUAUGUGAUUGUUUUUGGUUAUGCAUAAACCGACUCAACAUUAGCACUGUUUAGCAUAUGUUUGGUAUUGUCAUGGUGUGAUAAUCUUUCCUACGAGCCUCUGAUAGCUUGACGGAUCCUUGAGCAGUGGAUUAUUAGCAUUUGAUAGUGUUCCCACAUAAAAAAAAAAUGUGAUUAACUUGAUAUCUUGCUCGAUAGGAAUAGUAGCUAGCUUACAUCCUAACAGACUUGCUUUUGAUAUAAUUUCAAGGACAAAUUUCCAUUAGCUAAGAGGAGAUUCCCAGGUUCAAUUGGGCAAUUUUAAUUCCAAGGAAAUAUAUGGGAGGUCCUAGAUCUUUAAUGUGAAAGGUAUAGUGCAAAUAUUUCUUGAGAUUUUCAGUAGCAGCUUCAUCCGAUCCCAUAAUAAGUAUGAUAUCAAUAUAUAUCCUUCGAUAGAUAGAUUACGAACCUUUUCUCCUUAUAAAUUGUGCAUAAUCAUGUCUCAACUGUCUAAAGCCAGUAACUAUAAGUGCAUUUGUAAAUUUUGUGUACCACUAAUGAGAAGCUUUCUUAAGGCCAUAAAGUGAUAUGCAGAGACAACAUACCUUAGACUUCUCCUGUAUUCAUAAACCCGGUGGAAGAUCCAUGUAAAUUUCUUUGUCUAGAUCACCAUGGAGAAAGGCAUUGUAAAUAUCCAUUUGAUGUAGUGGCCAAUCCCGCAAGCAACAAUGCAUAGAAAGGAGCGAAUUGUGACUUUUUUUGCUACUGGAAAGAAUUUUUUUAUGAUAAUCGAAACAUUCUUUUUAUGUGAAACCUUUGGGUACUAAACGAGCCUUGUAUCGUUGGACUGAUCCAUUUGCCUUGUGUUUAAUUUUAUACACCCAUUUACAAUCAAUUGGGUUCCAAUGAGCAAGAAAGGACACAAUAUCCCAAGUUUGAUUUUUCAUUAAGGCACAUGACUCGGAGAUGUGCUCCCAACUUCUUAACACCCCCAAUCGAGGAUGGAGGAGGCAUGACAUAUGAGGAGACCAACCCUCAAUUGGCGUAGGUUUUGCUUUGCCUAUUUACUUUUCAUGUAGUAUGUUCAAUCGAUGCUUCUUCACAUUGAAUCAAAGGAAAAAAAUUCGAACCUUUGUCUUGACUAACUAAAUUUCAAAUAAAGCUCCAAACCCACCAACUAGACAUUUCUUCACCAACCAGCUUGCACUCGUAGCUCGCGUUCGAAAGUAAUUUAAUAGGAUAAGAUGAAUUUGUUUUCGAGCAUUUUGAAGGGGGGUUGGAAGGGAGAGACUUGGAAUACCGAUGAUAUCCCCGAUGACACAUCCACCAUGCCAGCAGAUGGAUGUGCGCCAAGCUUCUUAUCACCCCUGACCAAGUAUGGAGGAGGCACGACGUUUGAGGAGACCAACACUUGAUUAGCUUAGGUUUUGCUUUGCCUUGCCUAUUUACUACGGAUUCUAUUUCAUUCUUCAAUUUACUUUUCAAUCGAAGCUUCUUCAAAUUGGGUCAAAGGAUCGAAUGAAAUCAUCACUACUUUAGCCAUUGGAAUAAGCAUUAUUUGUUGCUUUGCCUAUUUUCUUUUUGUGUUUUAUGUACUUCUUCAAUUUACUUUUUCAAUCAACACUUCUUCACAAAGGAAAAAAAAAAUGAAUCUUUGUUUCGACUAACCUGUUGGAGAAAACUUCAUUAUCUGUUUUGAAGUUGACAAAACGUUUCCUUUCAUCAAAGUCUGAAGACCGCCAGACUCAAGAUUUAAAGUUUGCCCUCAUUAACAGUUCUAGACCGACGAAGAAAUCUUAUUUAGAUGCAAGUUUAUCUUUAAGGAUUUGAUAUGUUUAGUUGAAGAUUAUUUCACGGUUGGAGAUAGCAUCUAAAGAUCUAUUAUUCGUAUUGCAAAUAAUUUGAGUAAUUCAGAUUCAUUGAUUGGCAAAGUAAACUUAGAAAUUCUACUUAUGAAAACCUAGAUCCUGAUUGUUUGGGCGAGUAUGAUUGGUGGGCUAUCUUCAUUUUCCUUAAGUAACUCAAGAUCUCUCUAAUUGAUUAUGUCCAACGGUUAGAUUGGAAGAACUCAUUUGGAAAGUGCUAAUGGAUAUGAAGACAUAGAGGAAUAUAUAAGGAGGAUGCUCUAGUUAUUCGAGUGCGUGCGAGAUAGAAAAAUUUCAAAGUCUAAAGCUUUUAGUUCUUCACCGAUUUGUUUGUUGAGCAAAAACUUGUACUCAAGAGGGAUUAGAUAAUUGUGAGACCUUGAGGAAGUGUAGCAGAGUCUCUAUACUAUGGAAUCAAUGACGUGUGAUUGUAACAACUCUUUUGAUUCAUAGUGAAAUCCAGCCAGUUGGCUGUCAGUGCGGGAGAGUGGACGUAGGCUUGAUCUAAGCCGAACCAUUAUAAAUUAUCGUGUUUUCAAUUCUCUUUCCCUUAUCUUUUUACUUAGUUCAUAGUCUUAUAUAUAUCAUUGCAAAUAUUCUAUAUCUUAAGUCAUUCAUUGUUAUAUAAAUUGAAUUAAGUUGCUAAGUUUUACAAAAUUCGUUUUCACACCUAUUCACCCCCUCUAGGUGUUCAUACUAGCACUAUCAAUUGGUAUCAGAUCCUAUAUACUCAUUUAAUUGAAGUGUUUUUACUUCAUAGUUAAAGAUCCAUGGCUAGUAUGUUGGCUCCAAGUUUGGUUGAAGGGCAAAGCAACACCAGACCGCCUUAUUUUGAUGGGAAGGAAUACUACAUAUGGAAAAACAAGAUGAAAGCUUUUCUAAGAUCGAAAGAUUCUCUAGAAUGGGAUGUGGUAGACAAAGGAAUUAUUUCAAAAGUUACAACAGUCUUAGAAAGGGGAAAAGAAAUUGCAGAGGCUAGCGAGAUGACUCAAGAAGAGAUAACCAAGAGAUAAGCUCUUGAUGCAAAAGCAAUUUACUCCUUAUAUUGGGCAUUAUCUCCAACUGAAUAUAACAGAAUAUCUUCUUGUGAAAUAGCUAAAGAAGUCUGGGAUAGACUGCACAUUACGUAUGAAGGGACUGAUCGAGUGAAAUAAACUAGAAUCAAUAUUCUGCUUGGUCAAUAUGAAGCUUUCAAAAUGAAGCCAGAGGAAUCUAUCACUGACAUGUUUAGUCGUUUUACAGAAAUGAUGAAUGGUCUUGAGUAUCAAGGUCAACCAAUCUCAAGACCCAUGAAGGUUAACAAAUUAUUGCGUGGACUUUCCAAAGAUUGGAAUCACGUAAAGACAUCAAUAAAGGGAGACACAAAGGAUCAUGCCACUCUCCGUUGAUGAAUUGGUUGGCACUAUUCAAUCUUAUGAAGUGGAGCAAAUCAAUGAAGAUGUAGAUCCCAAAGGUAAAAAAUCUAUUGCCUUAAAAUCUAAUGAUGAUUCUAAUGUUACAGAUUUUGAAGAUGAUAUGGACGAUGAAGAGCUUGCUCUUAUGAUAAAAAGGUUCAGAAAACUGAAAAAAGGGAAGAAGAUUCAAUUGGAAGAAAAAAAACUCUCAAAGAUUUCAAAACAAAUCAGCUGAGGAUGACAAAUCCAAUAAAUAUGUGAUUUGCUUUGAAUGCAAGAAAAAUGGACACAUCAGACCCAACUGUCCCUUGGUGAAGAAAAAGAAAGGAAGAGCUGAGAAAUACAAAAAGGCACUCAAAGCAGAAACUUGAAGUGAUACUAAAUGCGAAAAAAGUGAUGAUGAUUAUGCUAAUAUUUAUUUAAUGGCAAAAUCAGAAUCAAAUUCAGAUUCAGAAAUCAAUAUAGAUUCAGAUUCAGAGAGUGAAAUCGAGGUAAGUAACUUUCAAAUUCCUAUUAAGGUCUCGAAAUAUAUUAAUGAAUUGUGUCUUAAUUUCAAAACCUCUCUCAAGAGGAUUUCCGAGCUAAAAAUGGAGAAUUCUAUACUGAAGCAAUAAGAAAUUUUAUAGAAAGAAAAGUUUGAAAAUCUAGAUACAAGUUUUAUUACUUUAAAAGAAAAUGCAAAAUCUCUUUCAAAAGAAAACACACUUUUGAAAAAUGAUAUUUCAAACAUUUCAAAAAGGUUUUCCAUGGGAUCUGAGAAAUUGGAAAAGAUUCUUUCAGUGCAAAGACCUUACUUUAACAAAUCAGGCUUGGAAAUGACAUUUGAAACUAUUUCUUUAAUUGAAUUUUCAAAAGUAAAGGAAAGAAUCAAACAAAGACCUACAAAAGCCUUUUAUAGAAAUCAUAUUCAAAAAUUCUUUAUAAAACCUGUUGGCUGAAGUGCUCUUAGAUGUUCUAAGUGUAACAGCUCAAAACACUUUGAGAAAGAAUAUCCUAUGGUUUGGAGGCUUGUUAAGAAGGAUAUGGCAAAGACUGUAUAUUGCACUAACUCCACUAGACCCAAGAAAGUGUGGGUACCAAAGAAAGUGUGGCUGUUCAAGGCAUAUGAUUAGAGAUUCAAAUUGUUUUAUUAAAUUUAAACAAGUAAUUUGUGGAAAGGUCUCCUUUGGCAUAAACAACAAGGGAAGAAUUUUUGGAUGUGGAAUUGUAAAGAUAGGAAAUCUCACAAUCAACAACGUCUCCUUAGUGGAAGGACUCAACUACAACUUGCUCAGCAUAAGCCAAUUGUGCGACACUGGGUUCAAGAUCAAUUUUCAAGAAGGAAUAUAUUCGGGCACUAGUAAAGAUCUUUCACAAUCCUUUACUGGGUGAAGACAUGGAAAUAUCUAUCUUUUAGAUAUCAAUCCAUAAAGAUAUCAAUGUCUAAUUUCAAUUCAAGAUGAAGAAAAUCUCUUGCAUUGAAGGCUUGGCCAUAUCAACAUGAAGCAAAUUGCCAAGAUCUCUUCAAAGAAGCUUGUUCGUGGACUACCCAACCUGAAGUACCAAAAAUCUGACUUAUGCACACCAUGUGUAUUGGGAAAACAGAUGAAGGAAUAUUCCUUGGAUACUUAACAUCCAACAAAAAUUACAGAGUAUAUAACAAGAAGACUCAGUUUAUGGAAGAGUCAAUGAAUAUCAAAUUUCAAGACUCUAUACAAAAUCAAUCGAUCCAAACUCAACCUGAAGAAUUGGAACGUGCUCCAAACUCUACAAAAUCUACUUUCCCUUAAGCAGCUCAGACUACAAAAGAACAACAACGAACAAAUAUUGAAGAAUCAACUAAAGAAGAAGUUCAACAAUCUGUCAGACCAACCAGCAACUGGAAGCACAAGUCCAGUCAUUCUAAAGAACUCAUUAUUGGUAGCAUUGAUGAAGGAAUUCGCACAAGAUCCAAAAGGCAUGAAGAGUUUAGCGAUGUUGCUCUUAUUUUUGAAAUAGAACCCAAGAGCAUAAAAGAAGCUUUAACUGAUGAAAGCUGGAUCAAAGCCAUGCAAGAAAAGCUCAGGUAAUUCAAUGUUAAUGAUGUUUGGGAACUAACUCCUAAACCAAAAGGUAAAUCUGUUAUUGGAGCUAUAUGGAUUUUCAAGAACAAGAUGGACGAGAAAGGAAAAGUUAUAAGGAACAAAGCAAGACUUGUGGCCAAAGGAUAUACACAAGAAGAAGGGAUAGACUAUGAUGAGACUUACGCACUAGUAGCAAGGUUAGAAGCAAUUAGAUUAUUACUUGUUUUUGCUUGUUAUAAGAAUUUCAGGUUAUUCCAAAUGGACGUCAAAAGUGCAUUCUUGAAUGAAUUUAUCCAAGAGGAAAUCUAUGUGGAACAACCUCUUCGUUUUGAAGAUCCAAGGAAACUAGACUCUGUAUUCAGACUGAAGAAGGCUCUAUAUGGAUUAAAGCAAGCACCUCGAGCUUGGUAUGACAAGUUAAGUAAAUUUUUAAUCAAAAGUGGUUUUGUCAAAGGUAAAGUCGACACUACUCUGUUUAUUAAAAGGGAAGGUAAAAACUUUUUACUUGUUCAAAUUUAUGUUGAUGAUAUAAUAUUUGGAUCAUCUAACGAAAGUCUAUGCAAUAAUUUCUCUAAGUCUAUGCAAGAAGAAUUCAAGAUGAGCAUAAUGGGUGAAUUAUCCUUCUUUCUUGGACUACAAGUAAAGCAAUUAAAGGAAGUAAUUUUUAUUCACCAAGAAAAAUAUGCAAAAUAACUUGUUAAAAAGUUCAGUUUAGACAAUUGUAAAAAGACUGAAAUAUCAAUGUCUAGUUUUUCGAAACCGGAUAAAGAUGAAGGAGGAAAGAAAGUUGACCAAAAAUUUUACAGGAGUAUUAUUGGUUCACUUAUUUAUCUUACUGCCUCUAGACCUGACAUUUUGUUUAGUGUUUGUAUGUAUGCCAGAUUUCAAUUAGACCCAAAAGAGUCUCAUAUAAGUGCUGCAAACACAUCAUCAAAUACGUUGCAACAACCUUGAAGAUAGGUUUAUGGUAUCCCAAAGAGGGAGACUUUACUCUCUUUGGAUAUUCUGAUGCAGAUCUAGCAUGUUGUCGAGUUGAAAGAAAAAGCACUUCCAGUACUUGUCAAUUGCUUGGUAACAUGACUGUAUCAUGGUUUUCAAAGAAGCAAAGCACAAUAGCUCUUUCAACAGUUGAAGUAGAAUAUGUGGCUCUUGGAAGUUGCUGUUCUUAAAUCUUGUGGAUAAAACAACAACUAAGAGACUUUGGAAUCAAAGAUUCGUGCACUGAGAUCAGAUGUGAUAACACUAGCGCAAUUAAUCUCACCAAGAAUCCAAUUCUUCAUUCAAGAGCAAAACAUAUAGAGAUUCAACAUCAUUUUAUUAAAGACCAUGUUAAAAAUGGAGAAGUUAUAAUCCAAUUUAUUGACUCAAAGAAUAAACAGGCGGAUAUAUUUACAAAGCCACUGGAGAAAAGUCUAUUUGAGUCUAUUCGCACCAGACUGAACAUUCUUUAGAGUUUGGAUGUGCACAAGACUCAAAAGGUAAAGUCUGAAUGUGUUCAGACUCAGAAAAUCAAGAGUUACAACGGUAAGUUAUUUCUAAAUUUGAAAAGGUAUGGUUGUUUAUUAAUCGCUAAUUGAUUGAAGUAAUCUUUCAAGUUUUCUUACUUUUUCAAAAAGGCAGUUAUUAAUUUUGAAAAGACAGUUAUUUUCAAAAAGGGAAGUUAUCUUUUUCAAAAAACUAUUUUUAUUUUUCGUUUACGAUGUUUCGUUUACCUCGUUUCACUUGCUUUAUAUACUGCCAAAACUUGUCUUCUUCGUUUUUACAUUGAAACCCUAAAAUACAAAAUUCCUAUUUGCUUUCACUUUCAUUCUUGAUUUGUCAAAAAGUUAUCUCCUUUUUCAAGCAAGUGGUGAAUUCCUCCCUUGAAGCGACAAUGUCUUCGAGAAAGUCUUCGAGAAUUGCAAGCAGGGGACCACAAUCUAUGCCUAAGGGUCCUACCCAUUUUGACUUAACUGAGAAAGAAGAUUCUUCUCCACCACUGCGUCUGAGUCAACAACAACCUUCUCAACAGCGUCAACCUUCUCCACCGACUCAACUUGAAGAUCAAGUCAUAGAGGAUACUGAAACUGUAAGAACUCUGACUACGAAGGUUGCUUAUAAGCUCUACUCUAAUCUGAAGAAAGGAGGAACAUCGAUGUUCUUAAUCGAUGAAUUCUUAAAAGAUAGAGGAUUCAAGAAUGAAACCUUGUUUUUGAGGGAUUUGGAAAAAUUGGGAGUUGUAGAGAAAGGAACGGCUGACCAAACGUUUGAGAACAUACCGAGUGACCCGUUCUAUGGCUUUGCACAUCAACCUCAGGACGAUGAUGAACGGUUGUUUGCUCAUUUUCAGCCUAGAUCGGGUGUGGCUACAAACGUUACUGAUGGCUCUAAUUUGUUUAGAUCGAAGGGGCACAAGAAGGUUUAUUUGGAACUUCUAAAGGGAGGGGUUAUGAACCCUAGAACUGUUGAUUUUGACUUUCUUGAUUCGAUAAAGGUCAAUCUUCGCGAGAAGUUUGCCUUUCUACAACCGGAACGUUUUUGUUUUGAAUCCACUACUGCUUUUCCAGAACUCACCGCAUACUUUUAUUCGAACUUAUCUUUCUUGAAUGCAAACAGUUUUAUUUCACUGUGAAGGAAAAAGAGUUUUUGGUGGAUACAAACACACUAGCCAACAUAAUUGGGGUGGAAAGAUCAAGUUUUCAACCAAUUAAUGUAUAUAUUGCACAUGUUAUUCUGUCAUUGGUAAGAGAUAGGAAUGUUGAUGGCAAGAUUUCUUACUCAAGGAUGAGUGCCUCUAACAUUUUGCUGCACAAGAUUGUGAUAAAUUGCAUUCAUCCUAAGUCAACAUCCAAGAUAGAUAUUUCUUGAUCGGAAACUAAGUUGAUGUGUGCCAUUAACUCUAGAUAUAAAUUCCCUUUGCCUCACACCAUAUUGUUUCAUAUGUACCGCACCGUGGAAAAAGAUAAGGGACAACUCCCUUAUUCUGCUCUUAUCUCAAGACUCUUUCGGCACUUUAAAAUUCACAUCUCUGCACCAUUAUGCUUGUCAACCAUUUCUUCUAUGGUAAUUGGUUCAAAAUUGUGACAAAUAUGAGAUUGAAAGAGUUGAACAAAGUGUUGGAGCAUGUGAAGGAAAAGUCUCCCACAAAAGCAAAACAAGACUCUGCUGCUGCGAAGAGGAAAGGCAAGGAGCCCAUGGUUGCUAUUGUGAAGAAGAAGAAAAGAAUCUCAUCUUGCAAGAUGAAGAAGAUGAAGAUGAACUAACCAUAACAGCUUCGAGAAACUUAAGGAGUUUUGUAAGCUUUCGUGAGACAAGAGAAGGGCCAGGAGAAGAGGAAAGAGAGAGAGGAAUCACAGAGGAAGGAAGAAGAGAAGCAGAAGAGGAAGAAGAAGAAGAGGAAAGAAGAGCAGAAGAAGAAGGAAGAGAAGAAGAGGAAGGAAGAAGAGAAGUAGAAGAGGAAGAGGAAGAGGAAGAAAAAGGGAGAGACGAAGAACCAGAUCAGGGUCAAGAGGACUCUUUCGAGCCAACCUUGGCUAUCUCUCUAUCUAGUGCGUUAGCAAAUGAGGAAACUUCACCUACUCCACCUGAGGGCAUCAAAACAGGGGGAGCUGUUGAUCCAAAAGGUAUUUCUUCAUCUUUGCGUGCUAGUGAUGUGAGUCGUUCUACCACAAAUCCUGAGGAUGUGUAUGCCUCACACAAUCCAGAAGUCAGUCAUGAUGGACAAUCUGCUGAAGAUCCAUCGAUUCUCAAAAUCCCCAUCCUUGACUCAGAUGGUCCUAGUGAUGCAUCUGCUCAGACAACAGACUUUUCAAGAUUGAUGGAAAUUCUUUUGGACAUCAGAAAGCAGCAAUAUGCCAUGGGAUUUUAGAUGCAGGAUCUCAAGAAUGUUUUUAAGGCCACUUCAGUAUUGUUGCAUGAACAAUUGAAUGCCCUGAAGCUUCAAGUUCAGUCUUUGCAGGGUGAAGAUUUUCCGUUACUGAAGCAGAGUUUUGACAGGCUUGAAAAGACAGUGCAUUCUAUGGGAAAUUCACGCUUGUUUGCCUGCCCAAACAACCUUGACUUUAACUCCAUUUUCUAUCCAUCUUUUUAGUCUAUUCUCCACUUUUUGCUGUUGACAAAAAUGGGGAGAGGUUUUAUGCAGAUUUGAUUGACUUGACUCUAUCUUUUUGACUUUAUGUUUUGGACUUGAACUUUUGUUUGGUGUGGUUUUGAUUCAGACUGGUUUGGACUGAUGAUGCUUGCAACUUAAGUUUUUAUUGAUUACAUUAAAUAUAGUUGUGUUUACAGGACUAACAUGUUUUUAGUGGUUGCAGAAUUACCUACUAUCUCUAUCGUAAUCUCUAAUUUUCAUCUAUAAGAAAUCUUGGUUUGCUUUAAGUGUUGUCUUGUAGGUCAAAGUAUCCAAAUCUGUGGAAAAGUUUUGUUACCAUAAAAAAAAUGGGGAGAUUAUUGGAGAAAACUUCCUUAUCUGUUUUGAAGUUGACAAAACGUUUUCUUUCAUCAAAGUCUGAAAACCACCAAACUCAAGAUUUAAAGUCUGCCCUCAUUGACAAUUCUAGACCGACGAAGAAAUCUUAUUCAGAUGCAAGUUUAUCUUUAUAAAUUUGAUCCGUUUCGUUAAAGAUUAUCUCAUAGCUGGAGAUAACAUCUAAAGAUCUAUUAUUCGUAUUGCAAAUAAUUUGAGUAAUUCAGAUCCGUUGAAUGGCGAAGUAAAAUUGGAAAAUUCUACUUAUAAAAACCUAGAUCCCGAUUGUAUGGGCGAGUAGGAUUGAUUGGCUAUCUUCAUUUUCCUUAAGUAACUCAAGAUCUCUCUAAUUGAUUAUGUCCAAUGGUUAGAUUAGAAAAAUUCAUUUGAAAAGUGCCAACGGAUAUGAAGGCAUGGAGGAGUAUAUAAGGAGGAUGCUCUAGUUAUUCGAGUAUAUGCGAGAUAGAAAAAUUUCAAAGUUUGAAGCUUUUAGUUCUUUGCUUAUUCAUUUGUUGAGCAAAAACUUGUACUCAAAGGAGGGAUUAGAUAAUUGUGAGACCUUGAGGAAGUGUAGCAAAGUCUAUACAUUGUGGAAUCAAGGACGUGUGAUUGUAACAACUCUUUUGAUUCAUAGUGAAAUCCAGCCGGUGGGCUGUUAUUGCGAGAGAGUGGAUGUAGGCUUGAUCUAAGCCGAACCACUAUAAAUCAUCGUGUUUUCAAUUCUUUUUCCCUUAUCUUUUUAAUUAGUUCAUAGUCUUAUAUAUAUCAUUGUAGAUAUUCUAUAUCUUAAGUCUUUCAUUGUUAUAUAAAUUGAAUUAAGUUGCUAAGUUUUACAAAAUUCAUUUUCACACCUAUUCACCCCUGUAUAGGUGUUUAUACUAGCACUAUCAUAACCGAGUUUCAAAUAAAGCUCCAAGCCCACCGACCAAAUAAUUCUUCACUGGCUAGCUUGCACGCGCGGCUCAACGGGCGAAAGCAUUUUUUUAGGAUCAAAUGAAUUUGUUUUUGAACAUAUGAGAGAGAGAGAGACUUGGAACACCAACGAUGUCCCUGACAGCACGUCCAUCACGCGAGUAGAUGGAGAUGUGCUCCAAGCUUCUUAUUACCCCCAACCAAGGACAAAGGUAUGAUGUUCGAGGAGACCAACACUCGAUUGGCUUAGGUUUUGCUUUGCCUUGCCUUUUUACAAUGUGUUUUAUUUCCUUCUUCAGUUUAGUUUUCAAUUGGCGCUUCUUCAAAUUGGGUCAAAGUAUUGAACCAAACCAUCACUACUUUAGCCACCGAAAUAAGCACUAUUUAUUGCUCUGCUUAUUUACUUUUUGUGUUUUAUUUACUUCUUCAAUUUACUUUUUCAAUUGACACUUCUUCACAAAAGAAAAUAUUUAAAAUCUUUGUCUCAACUAACCGAGUUUCAAAUAAAGCUCAAAGUCCACUAACCAAACAAAUCUUCACUGGCCAGCUUACAAUGCAACUCAUGGGUAGAAGUAUUUUCAUAGGAUCAAAUGAAUUUGUUUUUGAACAUAUCAAAGAGAGAGAGAGAGAGAGAUUUGGAACACCGACGAUGUCCCCGAUGGCAUGUCUCGGAGCACCGACGAUGUCCCUGAUGGCACAUCCAUCACGCCAAUAGAUGGAGAUGUUGUUGGAGAAAUCUUCUUGAAGUGUUUUGAAGUUGACAAAUCGUUUCUAUCAGUCUAGUCUGAAGGCUUGCAGACUUUGCUAUUUAAAGUCUGAAGACCUCCGGACAGCCAGACUCAAGACUCAAAGUCUAUCCUCAUUGACAGUCUCUAAUCCGUUGGAGUAAGGUUAUCCAGAACUGGAUGUUUCGUUAAGGAUUUAACCUUAUCAACUGGAGAAGAUCUUGUGGCUGGAGAAGACAUAACGGAGUCCUUUGAUUGAUCGAAGAUUGACUUGAUAAUUGAAGAUCCGGUGAUUGCCUAAUUAUUAUUGAAAGGUUCUGCUUAUGGAAACCGAGAUCCUGAUUGUAUGGGCGAACAUGAUUGAUGGGCUAUCAACACGUUCCUUUGAUAGCUUAAACAAUCUUCCUAAUUGAUUCCGUCCAACGGGUAGAUUGGAGGAACUCCUUUGGUAAGUGCCAACGGGUAUGAUGGCAUAAAGGAGUAUAUAAGGAAGACUGUCUUAGUUGUUCAAGGUGUGCGCGAUAGAAGAAUUCCAAAGUCUGAAGCUCCUUUUUGUUUAGACAAAUCCUUUGAGCGAAUACUUGUAUACAAAAGAGAGUCUAUAUUUGUGAGAAACCUUGAGGAGGUGUGGUAGAACAUCUACACUGUGGAAUCAAGGCAAAGCUGUGCUGUAACUUCUCUUUUGAUCAUAGUGAAAUCCAGCCGGUGGGCUGUCAGUGCGGAAGAGUGGACGUAAGCUUGGAAUAAGCCGAAUCACUAAAAAUCCUGUGUUCAAUUUUCUCUUCCUCACUCUCUCUACCUCGAUCGUAUUUCAUUUUGUUAAUUAAGAGAGAUUUCCUUUCUAUCAUAUGCUAAGAAUCGCUUCCAUAUAUCGAUAAAUUGUUUGUGCACCUAUUCACCCCCCUCUAGGUACUCAUACUAGCAAUAUCAAUUGGUAUCAGAGCCUGUGUACUUACUUUAUUUGAAGUGUUUUACUUCGUAGUAAAAGAUCCAUGGCUAGUAUGCUAGCACCAGGGCUGAUGGAAGGGCAAAGCAAUACCAGACCACCCUACUUUGAUGGAAAGGAUUACAACAUCUGGAAGAACAAGAUGAAAGCUUUCCUACGAUCAAAGGAUCCUCUGGAAUGGGACGUUGUAGAAAAAAGAAUUACUCCUACCACUGAUCAGUCUCUGAAAGAGGAAAAGAAACUGAUGAAACCAGCGGAAUGUCUCAGGAAGAAAUAAUCAAGAGACAAGCACUCGAUGCAAAAGCAAUUUACUCCUUAUAUUGUGCUUUAUUACCAACUGAAUAUAAUAGAAUAUCUUCUUGUGGUACAGCAAAAGAAGUUUGGGACAUAUUGCAUAUCACCUAUGAAGGAACAGAUCGAGUGAAGGAAACAAGAAUCAACAUUCUUCUCGGUCAAUACGAAGCCUUCAGAAUGAAACCAGGAGAAUCAAUAUCUGACAUGUUUAGUCGUUUUACAGAUAUUGUGAAUGGUCUUGAAAAUCAAAGUCAACCAACUUCUGAUCCCAUGAAGGUAAACAAGCUACUGCGUGGACUCUCCAAGGAUUGGAAUCACAUAAAGACUUCGAUAAGAGAGACGCAGAGAAUUAUGCCACUAUCUGUCGACGAGCUAAUUGGAACUCUUUAGUUUUAUGAAGUGGAACGGAUCAAUGAAGAUGAAGAUCCAAAAGGUAAGAAAUCCAUUGCAUUAAAAUCUAAUGAUAAUUCUGAUGAUACAGAUUCUGAAGAAAAUAUGGACGAUGAGGAGCUUGCUCUCAUGAUAAGAAGAUUCAGAAAACUGAAUAGAAAAGGAAGAAGGUUCAACUCAAAGAAACAAAGCUUUCAAAGACAGCAGACCAAGUCUGUUGAUGAUGAGGAACCAAACAAAGACAUAGUCUGCUUUGAAUGUAAGAAAAAGGGACACAUCAGACCCAACUGUCCUCUUCUGAAGAAGAAGAAAGGAAAAGCUGAAAAAUUUCGAAAAGCUCUUAAAGCCGAAACCUGGAGUGACACAGAGUGUGAAGAAAGUGAUAAUGAAUAUGCCAAUCUAUGUCUGAUGGCACAAUCAGACUCAGACUCUGGAUCAGACUCAAACAGUGAAUUUGAGGCAAGUAAUUUUAAAAUUCCUGUCAAAGUUUCUAAAUACAUUGAUGAACUGUGUUUUAGUCUUAAGACUUCUCUCAAAAGAAUUUCCGAACUGAAAAAGGAAAACUCAGCUCUAAAGCAAAAGGAAAAUGUUUUAGUAGAAAGAGUUAAAAGUCUAGACUUGACUGUUUCCACUCUUUAAAAAAAUGAAGAUAAUCUUUUAAAAGAAAAUACUUUUUUAAAAACAGACUUAUCAAAUAUUUCAAAGAAAUUUUCAAUAGGGUCUGAAAAACUUGAGAAAAUUCUUUCAGCUCAAAGACCUUACUUCAAUAAGUCCGGUCUAGGUAUGACAGCAGAAACAAUUCCCUUGAUUGAUUUUCCUAAAGUAAAAGAAAGAAUUAAGAAAAGACUCUCGAGAGAGGCUUACAAAAAUCACUUCAAAAAGGUUUUUGUAAAAUCUGUAGGUAGAAAUGCUCUCAGAUGUUCAAAAUGCAACAGUCCGGAUCACUUUGAAAAAGAGUGUCCUAUGGUUUGGAAACCUGUUAAGAAAAUAUGGGCUAAUACUGCUUAUGUUACUAACACCAAAGGACCCAAGAAAGUUUGGGUACCAAAGAAAGCUUGAGACUCUUUUUUAAAUGCAGGUCACCGUAAAGAAAAAUGUAAAGUGGUAUCUUGACAGUGGAUGCUCAAGACACAUGACAGGAGACUCAAAUUGUUUUAUAAAGCUUGCUCAAGUAAAUGGUGGAAAAGUUUCAUUUGGAGGAAACAGCAAAGGAAGUAUUGUGGGAUUUGGAACUGUGAAAAUUGGAAAUCUCACAAUAAGUAAUGUUUCCUUGGUGGAGGGACUCAAUUACAAUCUUCUCAGCAUUAGUCAACUGUGUGAUACUGGUUUCAAGAUCUUCUUUCAAGAAGGAAUAUGUUCUGGAAUCAGUAAAGACUCUACUCAGUCUUUCAUGGGUCGAAGACAUGGAAACAUCUAUCUUCUGGAUGUGAAACCAAAUGAAUCGCAAUGUUUUAUCUCAAUUCAAGAUGAAGCAAGCUUAUGGCACAGAAAGCUUGGUCAUGUCAACAUGAAGCAAUUAGCCAAAAUCUCAUCAAAACAGCUUGUUCGAGGAUUACCCAGAUUACCUUAUCAAAAGACUGAUCCAUGUACUCCAUGUAUUCUGGGAAAACAGGUAAGAAAUUCAUUUAAGCCAAUAAAUAAUGUCUCUACUAAUCAUGUACUACAGUUGCUGCAUAUGGAUCUCUUCGGACCAACCAGAACACAGAGUAUUGGAGGUAAGAAAUAUUGCCUAGUAAUUGUGGUCGAUUACUCCCGUUUUACUUGGGUAUAUUUCCUUGCAAGUAAGUCCGAAACCUUCUCGUAUUUUGAAAAGUUUGCUAAAAAGGUUCAAAAUGAAAAAGGAUGUGUUAUCUCAUGUAUAAGAACAGAUCAUGGAGGUGAAUUUGAAAAUCAAGAUUUUACAAAAUUUUGUGAUGAAUCUGGCUUUAAUCAUGUGUUUUCUUCUCCAUAUACUCCUCAGCAAAAUGGAGUUGUGGAAAGAAAGAACAGAUCUCUUCAGGAAAUGGCUAGAACUCUUUUAAUUGAAAGCAAGAUUUCUUCACGAUUUUGGGCUGAAGCUGUUUCAAUAGCUUGUUAUAUCAUUAAUAGAGUCUUCUUAAGACCUAUUCUAGAGAAAACUCCUUAUGAAUUGUUCAAAGAUAAGAAGCCUAUUGUUUCAUACUUUCAUGUAUUUGGUUGCAAAUGUUUUAUAUUGAAAAAUGUAAAAGAUCGAGUUGGUAAGUUUGAAGAAAGAUCAGAUGAAGGUAUCUUCCUUGGAUAUUCUACAUCAAGCAAAGCCUUCAGAGUCUAUAACAAGAAGAGCCAGUAUGUGGAGGAGUCAAUGAAUGUCAAAUUUCAAGACUCAACACAAGAUGAAUCAAGUCAGACUCAUCAAGAAGAGUCUGAACCUGCUCCAGACCUUCCAAAGCUUACAACUCAAGAAGCAUCUCAGACUCUGGAAAACCAGCAUCAGGAUGUUCGUGAAGAUCCAAACAAAGAAAGAGAUCAUCAACCAGACAAAUCAACAAGUAACUGGAAGCAUAAGUCCAGUCAUCCCAAAGAUCUUAUAAUCGGCGAAAUUAAUGAAGGAAUUCGCACCAGAUCCUAAAGGCGAGAAGAGUCUAGUGCUGUGGCUCUUGUUUCUGAAAUUGAACCAAAAAGCAUAGAAGAAGCUUUAUCUGAUGAAAGCUGGAUUGAAGCUAUGCAAGAAGAGCUCAGACAGUUCAGCAUUAAUGAUGUUUGGGAAUUGACAUCCAAACCAAAAGGUAAAACUGUUAUUGGAGCUAAAUGGGUGUUCAGAAACAAGAUGAAUGAGAAAGGAAAAAUCGUACGAAACAAAGCAAGACUCGUGGCCAAGGGAUAUACGCAAGAAGAAGGAAUAGACUAUGAUGAGACUUACGCUCUAGUAGCAAGGUUAGAAGCUAUUCGACUAUUACUUGCGUUUGCUUGUUAUAAGAAUUUCAGGUUAUUCCAAAUGGACGUCAAAAGCGCCUUCCUAAAUGGAUUUAUCCAUGAGGAAGUUUAUGUGGAACAACCACCAAGGUUUGAAGACCCAAAGAAGCCAAACUCAGUCUUCAGACUGAAAAAGGCUUUGUAUGGUUUAAAGCAAGCACCUCGAGCUUGGUACGACAAAUUAAGUAAGUUUUUAAUACAAAAUGGUUUUGUCAAAGGUAAAGUAGAUACGACUUUAUUUAUCAAAAAUGAGAUCAAAAGUUUCUUACUUGUUCAAAUAUAUGUGGAUGACAUAAUUUUCAGAUCUUCUAAUGAAAAUAUGUGCAAGAAAUUUUCUAAGUCUAUGCAGGAUGAAUUUGAAAUGAGUAUGAUGGGAGAGUUAACAUUCUUUCUUGGUCUUCAAAUAAAACAAUUGAAGGAAGGAACUUUUAUUUAUCAAGAAAAAUAUGUUAAUGAUCUUGUCAAAAGAUUUGGACUGGAAAAGUGCAAAAAGACUGACAUACCGAUGUCAAGUUCUUUGAAGAUAGACAAAGAUGAAGAAGGGAAGAAAGUUGAUCAAAAGCUGUACAGGAGCAUCAUUGGUUCACUUCUUUAUCUUACCGCUUCUAGACCUGACAUUUUGUUGAGUGUUUGCAUCUGUGCUAGGUUUCAAUCAGAUCCUAGAGAAUCCCAUCUCAGUGCUGCGAAACGCAUCAUUAAAUACGUGGCUUCAUCAUCAAGCAUCGGUCUUUGGUAUCCUAAGAAGGGAGACUUUAAUCUUCUGGGAUAUUCAGACGCAGAUCUGGCCGGUUGCAGAGUUGAUAGAAAAAGCACUUCGGGAACCUGCCAGUUGCUUGGAAGUAGGACAGUGUCUUGGUUUUCAAGGAAACAAAGCACUGUGUCCCUUUCAACAACAGAAGCAGAGUAUGUAGCCCUGGGAAGCUGCUGUUCGCAAAUUCUAUGGAUAAAACAACAGCUAAGAGACUUUGAAAUUGAAGACUCAUGCACGGAGAUUAAUUGCGACAAUACCAGCGCUAUCAACCUCACCAAAAAUCCAAUUCUCCACUCAAGAGCAAAGCAUAUAGAGAUUCGACAUCACUUUAUUAGAGACCAUGUUCAAAAUGGAGAUGUUUCAAUUCAAUUUGUUGACUCAAAGAAUCAACUGGCGGAUAUAUUCACAAAGCCUUUGGAGAAAAAUCAAUUUGAGUCUAUUCGUUCCAGACUCAACAUUUUAAGGUAUGAGGAUAUCAAAGUCUAAAGACUUUCAGACUCAGACUUACAAGACUUUAUCUGAAAGACAGUCUUGGUACGUCCGUUAGACUGUAAGUCUUUCUCCCUUGAAUCUCAUAUUGAAAAGGUACGAUCGUCAGACUAUGUUUAAAUUGUUGCUAUAUUUAAAUUGACGAAAAUAUUGCAUCGUUUCAUUUUCGAAAAGGAAGUCAUUUUUUAAAUGGCUAUUUUUGCGGAAAAAGACAGUUAUUUUGAAAAGGCAUAUUUUUAUUUCCUUUGUGACGGUUCGUUUAUCCCUCUUUUUAACCGAUUGUGCACUGUCGAUUCCUCUUCACUUUUCUCUCAAAAACCCUAGAAAGCAUCGAUCCUCCAUUCCCGUUUGUCUUCUUCGUUCAAUCCUCAAAAAGUUGUCAUCUUUCCUGGGAAAGUCAAGCAAGGAAUCUUCCAAAAAACUGAGAAAGAUGUCAUCUUCAAGAAAGUCCUCAAGAAUUGCAAGCAGGGGACCACGGCGGAUGAGUGAAGGGCCUACGCACUUCGAUCUUACUGAAGAUGAAGUGACUCCAGAACAGCAAGCGAGCCCACAACAUUCUCAACAGCGUCAUUCUCCUCCAUCUAGUCCUCAAGGCGUUGAUCAUCAACAACAGGAAGAAAUCAUCGAGGAUGCAGACCCUGUAAGAGUUCAAAAGCCCGCUUAUAUUUACCAGUUAUAUCGUGCCCUAAAAGGAAUUCGUACUCCUUUGAAAUACAUUGAUGAUUUUCUUAAAGACAAAGGACAUGGGAACGAAUAUAUCUUUCUGAAAAAAAAUGGAAAGUUUGGGAAUUGCUCGAAAAGGGGUGGCUGAGGAAACACUUGCAAAUAUCCCAAGUGAUCCUCGUGACUGGGGGCCGAAUCCUGUAGAUGGGAAUGAUGAUGAUAAAUUAUAUAGUCAAUUUCAACCGAAAAUGGGUGUUGCGGUUGAAAAUCAAGGAAAAAAGGGGAGAUUUGUUCAGAUCAAAGGAGCAAAAGGAUCUGUACUUGAAAUUGCUGAAGCGUGGGCUAAUAAAUCCUAGGAGUGUGGAUUUUGAUUUUCUGGAUGCAGUGAAUGUGAACUUGAGGGAAAAGUUCAGUUAUCUUCAACUUGAAAAGUUCUGCUCUGACUCUACAUAGGCAUAUGCUGAAUUAACUGCAUAUUUCUAUUCAAAUCUAAGCUUUUUAGAUGCGAAUAGAUUCUUUUUCAGCGUUAAAGACCAAGACUAUGUUGUGGAUAUGAAUAUGCUGGCAGAUGUGUUAGAAGUCGAAAGAGGAAGAUAUCAAACAAUCAAAGUUUCCAUUGCUCGGGCCACACUUGAACUAGUGAAGGACAGGAGAACAGAUGAAAAGAUCACCUACUUAAGGAUGGGUGCAUUCAACAUCUUGCUUCACAAUAUUAUGAUUAAUUGCCUCCGACCGAAAUCAACCUCCAAGACUGAUGUUUCAAGUUCAGAGGCCAAGCUGAUGUAUGCCAUUCUCUUUGGAAAAAGGUUUUCUCUCCCUCACACUGUGAUGUUUCACAUGUAUAGAGCAAUGAUGAAGGACAGAGGUCAACUCUCUUACCCAAGCCUUGUUACGAAGUUAUUCAGACAUCUAAAUAUUCAGCCUCCACAAAUCUUUUGUGUUCGACCAUGUGAUCAUAUGGUGGUAGGACUGAAAAUGGUGACCAAAAUGCGUCUGAAGGAACUGAGCAAGGAGUUGGAGAAAUUCAAGGAGAAGACUCCUGCAAAAUCUCAUCAAAUAUCUUCUGCAGCUAAAAGAAAAGGGAAGGAGCCCAUGGUUGCUCCAUCCAAGAGAAGAAGAGCUCUCCUCGUUGAGGAUGAAGAUGAUGAGGAAGACAUCACCAUCUCUGCAUUGGCUUUGAAGAAUUUAAGUCGUCUUGUUCCACAGCAAGAAUCGGAACAAAUGACAAAAGAAACAGAGGAGGAAAGACCAGAAGAAGAAAGAAGAGAAGAAGGAGAACCUGAAGAACACUCUUCUCCACCUGUAGGCAUGGAAACAGGGGGAGAUUAGGAGAAAGGAGUGAAGUCUUCAUGUCCAGAUGCAAGUGAAGGAGUCAGUCGCUCACCAGCAGACCCAGAGGAUGUUUAUGCAUCUCAGUUUCCAGAAGAAGGUCAUGAAGUUUCAUCGCCAAACCUGCAAGAUUAUGCUGAUCUACCAUCAUCUGCAUUUACUCCAUCAGAUCGAGCCGAAGCAAGUACUCAGACUGAUAAUGGAGCAGAUUUUCGCAGAAUCAUGGAUAUUCUUUUGGAGAUGUGAGGUCAGAUUUAUGCCUUGGGAUGCGAAGUUCAAAGCUUGAAAAAUGAAGGUCAAGCUUCUUCCUGUUCAUUGAAUGAUAAGAUGCAAGCCCUCUUUGUUCAGAAUCAGGCCAAUGCCAAGAGUGAGGAGAUUGCACAAUUAAAGGAAGACUUUAAAAGGCUGAAAGGUAUCGUUCAGUCUAUGGAAGAUUUCCAGCUUAUCCGCGUUCCCAAGCAAUCUUGACUUCAUCUCAUCCUUUUUAAUGAUGACAAAAAGGGGGAGAGAUGCAAGAUUUGAUCAAAAACUAAACUUUUUAUUCAUUAAACUUUUAAUUGUUUGUUGGAUUGUUUUGUGGUUUGAACCUGUUUGGUUUUGUGGUUUGAACCUGUUUGACUUUAGUUUGUGUCUGGAUGAGAAUUGAACUAGACUUGGACUUGACUGCUUCUAUUAACCAAUAUUGAUAUCUUAUGAAUGGCUUCAUCAUAUACUGGACUAACCUAUUUUCUGUGGUUGCAGAUUCUAGUGUUAUUCUAUUAGCCAUUUAUCUCUAUAAGAUACGCAUAUGUGUUUGAGAAAUGUUUUGCAGGUCAAAGAUAUCCAAAUCUGCAGGAAAGUUUUGUCACCAUCAAAAAGGGGGAGAUUGUUGGAGAAAUCUUCUUGAAGUGUUUUGAAGUUGACAAAUCGUUUCUAUCAGUCUAGUCUGAAGGCUUGCAGACUUUGCUAUUUAAAGUCUGAAGACCUCCGGACAGCCAGACUCAAGACUCAAAGUCUAUCCUCAUUGACAGUCUCUAAUCCGUUGGAUAACUGGAUGUUUCGUUAAGGAUUUAACCUUAUCAACUGGAGAAGAUCUGGUGGUUGGAGAAGACAUAACGGAGUCCUUUGAUUGAUCGAAGAUUGACUCGAUAAUUGAAGAUCCGGUGAUUGCCUAAUUAUUAUUGGAAGGUUCUGCUUAUGGAAACCGAGAUCCUGAUUGUAUGGGCGAACAUGAUUGAUGGGCUAUCAACACGUUCCUUUGAUAGCUUAAACAAUCUUCCUAAUUGAUUCCGUCCAACGGGUAGAUUGGAGGAACUCCUUUGGUAAGUGCCAACGGGUAUGAUGGCAUAAAUGAGUAUAUAAGGAAGACUGUCUUAGUUGUUCAAGGUGUGCGCGAUAGAAGAAUUCCAAAGUCUGAAGCUCCUUUUUGUUUAGACAAAUCCUUUGAGCGAAUACUUGUAUACAAAAGAGAGUCUAUAUUUGUGAGAAACCUUGAGGAGGUGUGGUAGAAUAUCUACACUGUGGAAUCAAGGCAAAGCUGUGCUGUAACUUCUCUUUUGAUCAUAGUGAAAUCCAGCUGGUGGGCUGUCAGUGGGGAAGAGUGGACGUAAGCUUGGAAUAAGCCGAAUUACUAUAAAUCCUGUGUUCAAUUUUCUCUUCCUCACUCUCUCUACCUCGAUCGUAUUUCAUUUUGUUAAUUAAGAGAGAAUUUCCUUUCUAUCAUAUGCUAAGAAUCGCUUCCGUAUAUCGAUAAAUUGUUUGUGCACCUAUUCACCCCCCUCUAGGUACUCAUACUAGCAAUAUCAGAUGUGCCCCAAGCUUCUUAUCAUCCCUAACCAAGGACGAAGGAGACAUGACGUUUGAGGAGACCAACACUUGAUUGGCUUAAGUUUCGCUUUGCCUUGCCUCUUUACUAUGUGUUUUAUUUCCUUCUUCAAUUUACUUUUCAAUCGAUGUUUUUUCAAAUUGGGUCAAAGGAUCGAACUAAACUAUCACUACUUCCACUGGAAUAAAUACUAUUUAUUGCUUUGCCUAUUUAUUUUUUGUAUUUUAUUUACUUCUUCAAUUUGCUUUUUCAAUCGACGCUUCUUCACAAAAGAAAAUAUUUCAAAUUUUUGUCUUGGCUAAUUGAGUUUCAAAUAAAGCUCUGAGCCCACUGACCAGACAAUUCUUGACCAGCCAGCUUGUACGCAUGGCCCAUGGGUGGAGACAUUUUUAUAAGGAUCAAAUGAAUUUGUUUUUAGCAUAUGAGAGAGAGAGAUAGAGAGAGAGAGUUGGAACACUGGCAAUGUCCAUCAGGCCAAUAAACGGAGAUGUGCUCCUAGUUUCUUAUCACCUCCGAUCGAGGAUAGGGGUGAGCGGUUCCAGGUUCCGGUUUGGUUCCGCCUGGAACCUGGAACCUGGAACCUACCCAUCACAGGUUCCAGGAUCGGUUCCAGGUUCCAACAGGUUUUUUUUUUUUUUUUUUCAUUUUUAGUUUUAAAAAACGAAAAUAAACACAACAAUAAUAAACAAUCUUAUACCUCUUAAUCCUCACUUUUUUUUGAGCUUAUCCUUCAAAUCAUGAUUAACACAAAAAAAUAGUUUGAACUCAACAUAACGGGGUCCAACACCUUGACAAUCCUUCAAGGAGCAGUACUCCAAAACUGUAGAUGUCUAAUUUUUGUGUGGGUUCCGAAGUUUUCAUGACUUCGAGAACCCGAUAACCUGCACUUCUAGUUCUAGGAGGCACUGUAGGAGUGCGGAUCAGAGGAGUCAGGCCAAACUCUAAGAUGCAACCUUCAAGAUAUGUUGCCAUGGAUAAACCUCCCGCCUCUGGCUGAAUGGAUAUGAGCAAUGCCUUUAGCCACUCCUAGAGAAAUCUUCACCCGCAAUGCCCAGUCCAAUGGUUGUCUCCCACCUUAUGCAAAUCAUUAUCAGAAGGUAACCGUCAACAAUGCAGCGAAUAUGAGACAACCUACACUUCUUUCGACAAACCUUCCCCAUGUAUCCCACCUCACAUUGUCGUGGUCGGGAUAAUCAUCCGCAUAUGACAAGUCUCCAACAUACAUAGUCUGUCCUUUCUGCGGAUUAUGCUCAUAAUGGGCGAGUGUUCGGUUUGAAUCAAAAGUCUGACCAAGAUCCCCUGCAAUGGUCAUCGGCAUGCUGAGCACAGAAAGAAGUAGAACCAUGGAUGCAUGUAAAUUACCGGCAUAACUAAAUUUGUUGCGACUUAUUGAUGAAAAUGAUUAUCAAAACUAAAUGAUUCUGCAAAGACUCAUUGUACAUACACAGGAAUGAGCUUUUGAAGCUACUUCGAGUCAUUGACUAUCUAUGCAUGACAAUAUGAUUUACUUUUCCUAUGAGACCGAAAGUAUAUGGAACAUCAGGACCAACCUCUGGAGGAGUAAUGAACUAGAACUGUUGGACCGUGUGUCCAAUUCCAACUUCAUAAUAGUAUUUAGUGUGUACUGCAAGUAAACGGAAUAAACAUCAGCUACAUUUACCAAAUUUUGCAGACCAGGCACCAACAAAUUAAUAUUUCUGGAGGAAUUUAGAAAUUUACCAUCAAGUUUUUCAGGGUGCAAUGGUGGAUGUAACCAGAAGUAUAAUUGUAGAACUUAUAAUGAUUAACUUUGCCCUUUGCCUUUUUCUUGUGCUUGCUGUUUUCACUCCAGUAACGCAGUGCACUGGACCCAGGUUCAUCCGGAGUCACCCAUGACACAAUCACUCCUUUUCCCACAUGAUCUCCUUGGGUAAUAUGUACCUAAAGACUCGCGCCAAAAUCAAAACCAAAUCAAAAAGCACAACGGAAGUGCUGGUCUUCCCUCCAUUGCACAAAUCAGCCCCAUUCAAAACCAGAACAAGAACAGCCCCAACAAUAGCCACUGAACAGCAAGAUGAAGAUCCCAGAACAGCUAUCUUGGUCUUAUUUUAGGAUAUGGAAGAACCUACGUGACACAACCCCACAAAUUCCCUUCCCUCACUAUGUAUGUACUUGGAUCAGGGCACACAAGCAUGACACUCACAUCUCAAAAAUCGACCAAAUAAAGCAGCUAAAAUGUUAGAUUAGAUCUAACAGUUAAGAGAAGAAACAACAAGAGUUUAGACCCGCGAUUGAAGUUGCAGGAGGCGAGUUUCUUCGGUGUUGAGGGCGGCGAGCGGUAUCAAGGGACGUCAGGCGGUGUUGAGGGGGUCGAGCGGGCGUUGAGGGGGCCGUGCGACAUUGAGGGGCCGAGCGGCGUCGAGGGGGCGUCGAGGGGCCGAGCGAGCGUCAAGGGCGUCGAGGGGGUCGAGGGGGUCGAGCAGCGUUGAGGGGCCGAGAGGCGUUGAGGGGUGGCGCGGACGGCGCAACAGCUCGUCGGGCUCAACGGCUCGUCGGACGAGCGGUGGGUGGUGGUGGUUCGGUGGCGAAGAGGUGGUGGUGAGUAGGGAGUGGGGUGGCGGUGCGGUGGUAGGUGAAGCAGCAGUAGCAAGAGGAAGGAAGAAGAAGAAGAAGAGGAGAAGAAGGGGGGGUUCGGCCGAGAGGGGGAAAGAGGAGAGAGAAAGAAAAGAAAAAAGUUGGGGGGAGGAAGUGACGUGAGGAGGAAAAUGUGGAGAAAAGAAAUAGAGAAAAAGAGAGGAGAAGGGAGGGAAAUCCGUUGGGGGAAGUGAGGGGCUAGGUUUUUUUUUUCUUUUAAUUUUGAUCGGUUCCUAGAAAAAGGGAACCGGCAACCGGAACCGGUCUCUUUAGAACCGGGAACCGACCCUCCGGUUCGGUUCUCCGAUUUCCGGUUCUACCCGGAAACCGUGCUCACCCCUAAUCGAGGACGGAGAAGGCACGACAUACGAUGAGACCGACACUUAGGUUUUGCUUUGCCUAUUUUACUUAUAGUGUUUUAUUUACUUAUUCAAUUACUUUUUUAAUUCACACUACUCACGUAAGGUCAAACGAAAAUUUUUUGAACCAAAGCUUUAGCCAUUGGAAUAAGCACGCCCAUGCAAAUCGACCAUUUGAUUGGCCGUUGAGCUCAGGAACUCAAAUGAGAUUAACUAGUAAGCUUUAAAUUUCUUAUUUAAAACAAAAUUCACUCGAAAUCCUCUUUCGAGGAAAAAAAAAGAAAAUCCCUUUUUUUUUCUGUUUUAAUUUGGAAUAUUCAUUAAAACGAGAUGAGAAAACCAAAACGGCACGGAACCAUCCCUCCCUCCAGCCAAAUCCGGGGGGGCGCUCCGCUCCCCCCUCCCCAUGGCGGCCCCCGACGAGCCCCCGCCGCCGCCCGACUGGCUGGAGCUCCCGCGGGAUAUCGCGACGACGAUCUUGCUGAAGCUCGGCGCCGUCGAGAUCCUCACGACAGCGGAGUUGGUGUGCACCGACUGGCGCGCCCUCUGCCUGGACUCCACCAUGUGGCAGACCAUCGACAUGCGCAACGACGGGGACCUGCCGGACGACGACCUCGCCGACAUGUGCUGCCGCGCCGUCGACCGGAGCGACGGCGGCUGCCUCGACCUCAACAUCGAGUACUUCGGCGACGACGAGCUCCUCCAGUACGCCGCCGACUGGUAACUCGCCGAUUCCCGCUUGAAUGAAUUUCGCGCGGUUUUGUUCCUCGGUCUGGUUUUGGUGGGCCUCGGAAUGAUCGCUGAUGGGCGAGCGCGACGCGUGGUCCGGUUCUUUUGUGCGUACGCCGUUGUUGGAGAGAAUUGAGAUGAUGGUUAGUCGCCGAAGAUGAGCUUGUUUCGGCAAUUGGCUGAUCGGUCGUUGCGAUUGUGUAGACCUAGAUUGCGGCGGUAGCAAGUGCGUGUGUAUACCGUUGAUUUCUCUGGGCUGAAGUUGUGCAGGAAUCGCGAAAUUGUGUAGGAAUGAAUCGUAUUGAGCACGAGUUUACUUCUCUUAUUCACCAUGGCCUCAUCACGAGGCGGAGGUAUAAAUGUGAGGCGUCGAGUAGUCCUCAGGAAGUGAACAUUCUGCACACUUGAAAAGUCCCUUUUUCCCCCUUGUCCUCAAGAAUUGGAAAUGAAAAAAAAGAGAAGAUGGACACACCAGAUGAUGAGAACAGAUUGUAUUUGGAAAACUUUGAUCAGCUACAUGUUCUGGAAACUAACUGAUGAAAAUAUCAUGCGUGGAAAUUGAGUUCUGAUCCUGAAAUAGCUCCCGAGAAUGAGGGUAGAGAUUUUUUACGUGAAAGGAUGCCACCUUUGUUACUUUCUCUCUCCUUAGGAGUUCUCAAAUGGCUUCUUUACUCUGUCUCUAUGUUCCGUAUGUUCAGCCUCAGUAUCUUUCAUUUUUAGCUGUCAUUUGAACAUUAGGAUGAGGCAAAAGUUCAACCCAAUUGAAACCAUGAAGGAGCAUUGAACUGAGGUUGUGAAAAGACUGAUACAAUGCCGUCUGUUGAGUAUCGGGCAUUACUAAAUGAAAUGAGGAACAUGAACUGUGACAGAGCUUCCAUAAGUGCUUGAUAUGGCAGAAGCACUUCUAUUUUACUUCACUCUAGGAUCUUCUUUCCCCUAUGUGCUUUUUUUCCUUUUGAUCAGUUUAUGCGACGCAUUUACUCUCCUGUUUGCUAAUAGUUAUGGGGAGAUAGGUGCUAUAGAAGGUAUAUAACUCAACAAAAUAGGGUAUAGCCAUGUAGCUCCAUCACCUUCUCAGCCUUGGACAAUUGUAGCUUUAUCCCAUGCUUGCCAAAACACUUGAGUAUGCCUCAGGUUCCAGUGAUAUCAAUCUUAAACUGUUUUUUCCCCUUAUUUUGUUCAGCAAAGAAAAUAUUCUAGUUUAAUUCACCGCUGGAUUUGUCUUCUAUUUCCUGGUCGAGACUCCGCGCUCAGUCUUCAUCAUUGCGUUUUCAUUGAACUUGCAGAGACAGGUUAGGUACAUUUGAUGGCAUUUUUGCAGGUCUUGGAUAGGUACAUAAUUGUCUUGAUCUGACCAGUGGAUGGCACUGUCAGUGUUUUGAUUCCACAGUAUACAACUGAAGUUACUGCUUGAGUUAUGGCAUGGAAGUUUUACGUUUUGGAGUCUUUUCGGUUCUUAAAAUGAGUUUCAGAGUCUAAUAGUGUUAUGUUUGCUUUUGUUGAUAAAAUUCCUAUGAUGAAGGGUUUUAUGAGGAGACUUUGUUAAUGGGUGCCUCUGGUAUAGUUGUUAACCACACAUAAUAAGGAAAUGUAAUUACUCUAAUUAUAUAUAACAUGAGAAAUAUGGUGCAUAAAAAUCGACAAACUCUUUUUAUCGAGGUGUUAAAAAAGUUCCCAUGGACACAUAUUGAAAAAAAAAAUGAUCAGAUUAGCUCUCUUUAUUGACUUAAGUUUCUCUCUUUCAUGGUGUUUUUCUUCCUUUUACUGAGCAUGAAGUCCAGAACAGAGCUUUUGGAUUGUGUUUGAUUGUUGACUGCUGGAUAUAUUAUGUUUAUUAUGGAACUUUUAUUAUAGUUUGAGGCUGGAAUAGAACAUAAUUUCCAUUGAUUUGAUUAGGUUUUGAAUUUGAUCUUACUUUUCUUGACGUCUUGAUUCAUUAACUUUAUAUUUGUUUUCCUUCUACACAUAUUUUGUGUAAUCUGCGUCUUAUUAUUAUUUCGGAUAAAUAUGGCAGUCUUGCUUAUUAAAAGGCUAUUCUGAUAGGUCAAAAGUGGACCAAGCAUCGCAUCUCUCAAUUGCAUAGAUCUCUGUUUAGUUUACAUUCUUGUGAUGCCAUGGGUAUGCAAAGGCGGACUUCAUUAACAAAUGUGGCAUAGUUGACCUUUUUUAACAUGACUUGAAAGAAUUCCAAUCAAGGCCGCAACAGUAGAGAAUUCUUGAUCUAGGGUUCUGGCUGAUUUUAUCAUAUUUCCGUAUUUAUUGACAUGUCUCAUUAACGAGUGCCCGUAGGGCAUUUAUUAAACAUACUGCAUGAGGAAAGUUCCAUUGUCCGCAACACUAGUUACACACUUCACUAGAACAAUUGUGGAUUAUAACUUGUGGUGUUCCUUAAUUAGCCACUAAGAAGUGCCCAAGGGAUACUGAUUAACAAAUUAAUGUUGUUGAAAUACAAUUACUUUUUGGCCGAUGAAAAUAAUCUCUCUACACACCCCUUGCUCUAGAUCAAUAAGCUCUCAGUUCCUUAUCUUAGUGGUUAACAUUAUUAUUGCUAGCUACAACAAGUCUGCUUUUCGGUUGAACCAUCGUUGUUCUCAUGCAUUUCUUAUUCCAUUGCAGGUGCAAUCAUAUUAGACGGCUACGACUUGUAGAUUGCGGUAACAUUUCGGAUGAGGGUCUGUGUGAAGCAGCCUCAAAACUUCCUAUGCUGAAGGUCCUUGAAUUAUCUUAUUGCUCAUUCUCAAAGGAAGCCAUAGAGACUGUUGGACAAUGUUGUCCCCUUCUGAAAUCCUUCAAAUUGAAUAGCCGGGUAUAUAGAUGUCCACACAUAGAAUGUGAUGACGAGGCACAAGCUAUAGCGAAAAACAUGCAUGGAUUACACCACCUCCAACUCUUCGGGAAUAAGAUGACAAAUGAAGGUCUGAAGGCGAUUCUCGACAGUUGUCCUCAUCUUGAGUAUCUCGACUUGCGCCAGUGCUUCAAUGUUUAUAUGGGGGGUGAUUUGGGGAGAAGAUGCACCGAACAGAUCAAAGAUUUAAGGAAUCCAUAUGACCCCACAGAUGACUAUGAAUUUGAUGCUGCAAUUCUCGAUGAUGAGUCCUUUGAUGAUGAUUACCCAUCUGGGUUUUCUGACAUUGAUUUGUCUGAUUAUGAUAACUACUAUGACUUCUCUGAUUAUGAUGAUGAAUUCUCUGAUUAUGACGAUUUCUCUGUAUAUGGGUUUGAGGAGGAUCAGUGAUUUGCUGGUUGACACGCAUGCAUGGUGA
rnacentral:lncRNA from 1 species